UCGUCAUUGCCUGGGGACGAAUGGUUUUGCCUCGGGUUCGUGCGAUGGGCGCUGCUGGUUUAUGUGGGUGUUGGUGUCCUGUCGUGCCGUGUCCUCGUCGAUGCGCUUGUCUUUUGUCUCCAACAUCCGCCAUUAUCGAUACCUUGCAGCGAAGGAGGAGUGGAAUUGUGACUGGGAAGGGCAUGGGCACACGCAGUGGUCGCUUGCCAACUGCCCACUCCGUCCUUAAAGAUCUAUUGUCGGACAUGGCUGACAACGAACGACCCUGCCGUGAUUGGACGCUGGGUCUUGUGGUGUUGCUGGCUAUCCUAUUUUUUUUUAGGGAGCCGGUCUGUGUCUUAUCUUGAGUAGGAUCAAUGAGAAAGUAUUUGGUUAAGAUUGUUUAUAUCGGGG
rnacentral:lncRNA from 1 species